CUACGUGCCAGCAGCCGCGGUAAUACGGAAGGUCCAGGCGUUAUCCGGAUUUAUUGGGUUUAAAGGGAGUGUAGGCGGUUUGUUAAGCGUGUUGUGAAAUUUAGGUGCUCAACAUUUAACUUGCAGCGCGAACUGUCAGACUUGAGUACACGCAACGUAUGCGGAAUUCAUGGUGUAGCGGUGAAAUGCUUAGAUAUCAUGAAGAACUCCGAUUGCGAAGGCAGCAUACGGGAGUGUAACUGACGCUUAAGCUCGAAGGUGCGGGUAUCGAACAGGAUUAGAUACCCUGGUAGUCCGCACAGUAAACGAUGGAUGCCCGCUGUUAGCGCCUGGCGUUAGCGGCUAAGCGAAAGCAUUAAGCAUCCCACCUGGGGAGUACGCCGGCAACGGUGAAACUCAAAGGAAUUGACGGGGGCCCGCACAAGCGGAGGAACAUGUGGUUUAAUUCGAUGAUACGCGAGGAACCUUACCCGGGCUUGAAUUGCAGAGGAAUUAUUUAGAGAUA
rnacentral:rRNA from 1 species